AUUGAACGCUGGCGGCAGGCUUAACACAUGCAAGUUGAGCGGGGGAAGGUAGCUUGCUACCGGACCUAGCGGCGGACGGGUGAGUAAUGCUUAGGAAUCUGCCUAUUAGUGGGGGACAACAUCUCGAAAGGGAUGCUAAUACCGCAUACGUCCUACGGGAGAAAGCAGGGGAUCUUCGGACCUCGCGCUAAUAGAUGAGCCUAAGUCGGAUUAGCUAGUUGGUGGGGUAAAGGCCUACCAAGGCGACGAUCUGUAGCGGGUCUGAGAGGAUGAUCCGCCACACUGGGACUGAGACACGGCCCAGACUCCUACGGGAGGCAGCAGUGGGGAAUAUUGGACAAUGGGGGGAGCCCUGAUCCAGCCAUGCCGCGUGUGUGAAGAAGGCCUUAUGGUUGUAAAGCACUUUAAGCGAGGAGGAGGCUACUCUAGUUAAUACCUAGGGAUAGUGACGUUACUCGCAGAAUAAGCACCGGCUAACUCUGUGCCAGCCGCCGCCGUAA
rnacentral:rRNA from 1 species